rnacentral:rRNA from 1 species
GACGAACGCUGGCGGCGUGCUUAACACAUGCAAGUCGAACGGAAAGGCCCUGCUUUUGUGGGGUGCUCGAUUGGCGAACGGGUGAGUAACACGUGAGUAACCUGCCCUUGACUUUGGGAUAACUUCAGGAAACUGGGGCUAAUACCGGAUAGGAGCUCCUGCUGCAGGGUGGGGGUUGGAAAUUUUCGGCGGUCGGGGAUGGACUCGCGGCUUAUCAGCUUGUUGGUUGGGUAGUGGCUUACCAAGGCUUUGACGGGUAGCCGGCCUGAGAGGGUGACCGGCGACCUUGGGACUGAGAUACGGCCCAGACUCCUACGGGAGGCAGCAGUGGGGAAUAUUGCCCAAUGGGCGGAAGCCUGAUGAAGCAACGCCGCGUGCGGGAUGACGGCUUUCGGGUUGUAAACCGCUUUCGCCUGUGACGAAGCGUGAGUGACGGUAAUGGGUAAAGAAGCACCGGCUAACUACGUG